rnacentral:rRNA from 1 species
UACGUAGGGGGCGAGCGUUGUCCGGAUUUAUUGGGCGUAAAGAGCGUGUAGGCGACCAGGUAGGUCUGCUGUGAAAACUCGAGGCUCAACCUCGAGACGUCGGCGGAAACCAUCUGGCUAGAGUCCGGAAGAGGAGAGUGGAAUUCCUGGUGUAGCGGUGAAAUGCGCAGAUAUCAGGAAGAACACCCGUGGCUAAGGCGGCUCUCUAGUACGGUACUGACGCUGAGACGCGAAAGCGUGGGGAGCGAACAGG